rnacentral:siRNA from 1 species
UACUAUUUUCUCGUGUUAUUGC